rnacentral:rRNA from 1 species
CAAGACUUGACAUCCCGCUGACCGCUCUAGAGAUAGAGUUUCCCUUCGGGGCAGCGGUGACAGGUGGUGCAUGGUUGUCGUCAGCUCGUGUCGUGAGAUGUUGGGUUAAGUCCCGCAACGAGCGCAACCCCUAUGUUGUGUUGCUACCAUUUAGUUGAGCACUUACAACAGACUGCCGGUGACAAACCGGAGGAAGGCGGGGAUGACGUCAAAUCAUCAUGCCCCUUAUGUCUUGGGCUACACACGUGCUACAAUGGACGGUACAAAGGGUUGCGGAGCCGCGAGGUGGAGCCAAUCCCAGAAAGCCGUUCGUAGUUCGGAUUGCAGGCUGCAACUCGCCUGCAUGAAGCCGGAAUUGCUAGUAAUCGCGGAUCAGCAUGCCGCGGUGAAUUCGUUCCCGGGCCUUGUACACACCGCCCGUCACACCAUGGGAGUUGGUAACACCCGAAGUCGGUGAGGUAACUGCUUGCAGAGCCAGCCGCCUAAGGUGGGAUCGAUAACUGGGGUG